UACAGAGGUCCCAAGCGUUGUUCGGAUUCACUGGGCGUAAAGGGUGCGUAGGCGGUCGGGUAAGUCUGAUGUGAAAUCUCACAGCUUAACUGUGAAACUGCAUUGGAUACUAUCCGGCUCGAGGAAUGGAGGGGAGACUGGAAUACUUGGUGUAGCAGUGAAAUGCGUAGAUAUCAAGUGGAACACCAGGGGCGAAGGCGAGUCUCUGGACAUUUCCUGACGCUGAGGCACGAAAGCCAGGGGAGCAAACGGG
rnacentral:rRNA from 1 species